CGCAUAUUGCGCCCUUUGGUAUUCCGAAGGGCAUGCCUGUCCGAGCGUCAAUAUCACCCCUCAGCUUCGGCUUGAUGUUGGACUUUUUGUCGAUAUAGACAAGUCUUAAAUGCAGUGACGCUGGCUUGAGUAAACCAGUACGAGGAGCUGUUUCAGCAUGUACAUGGGGACUCAAAUUUGUUGUCUUAAAACUUUUACACUUUUUUGUGUUUGAGUUGACCUCGGAUCAGGUAGGAAUACCCGCUGAACUUAA
rnacentral:misc_RNA from 1 species